CCAAUAGCGUAUAUUAAAGUUGUUGCAGUUAAAAAGCUCGUAGUUGAAUUUCGGGGUCAGCAGGUUGGUCGUGCCACUGGUAUGUACUGGCUUUGCUGAUUCCUCCUUCUUGUAGAACCGUAAUGCCAUUAAUUUGGUGUUGCGGGGAAACAGGACUGUUACUUUGAAAAAAUUAGAGUGUUUAAAGCAGGCUAACGCUUGAAUACAUUAGCAUGGAAUAAUGAAAUAGGACGAGCGAUCCUAUUUUGUUGGUUUCUAGGAUUGACGUAAUGAUUAAUAGGGAUAGUUGGGGGGAUUAGUAUUCAAUUGUCAGAGGUGAAAUUCUUGGAUUUAUUGAAGACUAACUACUGCGAAAGCAUUUGCCAAGGAUGUUUUCAUUAAUCAAGAACGAAAGUUAGGGGAGCGAAGACGAUCAGAUACCGUCGUAGUCUUAACCAUAAACUAUGCCGACUAGGGAUCGGAUGAUGUUAAUUUUAUAAUGACUCAUUCGGCGCCUUACGG
rnacentral:rRNA from 1 species